CUAGACUGCAUCAACAGGCAUGUAGUAUUGAGAUUGAGGGAAACCAUAGUCUCACUCUAUUCUGCUUUGGUCAGACCUCACCUGGAAUACUGGGCAUCACAGUUCUGGGCAUCACAAUGCAAGAAGGAUAUUGAGAAGCUGCAAUGUGUCCAGAGAAGUGUGAUCAAAAUGAUCAAAAGUUUGGAAACUAAGCUUUAUGAGAAGCAGCCUAGGGAGCUGGACGGUGACUCCGGAGGGUCUCUAUGAUUUUGCCAAGUCUGUGAUGGAGGAGCUGAAGCAGCAGAGCAAGUACCUCAACUGCCUCCUGUUGCCGCUGCCGCCCCUGGACCCGGCCGCUUCCUGGCCGCGGAGGGGCUCGGUGAGCGUGUCUCUGCAGUCAGAGGAGGGGCGCGUGGAAGCCCCCCGAUGGUGAUGGGCGUGGAGCGCACGGCCCUGAUGCUUCCCAGCUGCAUGGGCCGCCCCGCCUUGGAGGACCCCGCCCUCCCCCUCAUCAAGCACCUCGGCGGGUAUAGGAAACAGAGUCUACUCAGUAGGCUGUUUUCUUUCAGUUCAGUACUUACGCUAUCAGCAAAGACUUGGGGGCAGCUCAUGCAGAAAACAAAGUUGAUCAAAGAACUGUUUUGGAAUAUUACAGAAGAGACUUGGAAGGACCACAGAAGAUGCCAGUACUGUGGAAAGAACUGUAUGAUCUGUCUCAAGGACUUUGUGUUCCAAACUAUCUAAAUAAUGUAUUAAUUAAACUGUAGUCACCUGACUGCUGAAAAUUGUGUGUGCAAGUACGCAUAAAUAAAAUAACUUGUUGUGAAUUAUUUAGUGUUAGUAUGUACUUUGGGUAGAAGAAA